rnacentral:rRNA from 1 species
AUACGGAGGGUGCAAGCGUUGUCCGGAUUUAUUGGGUUUAAAGGGUGCGUAGGUGGUUUUUUAAGUCAGUGGUGAAAGCCUACAGCUUAACUGUAGAGGUGCCAUUGAUACUGGGGAACUUGAGUAUGGACGAGGUAGGCGGAAUUUGUGGUGUAGCCGUGAAAUGCAUAGAUACCACAAGGAACACCGAUAGCGAAGGCAGCUUACUGGGCCAUAUCUGACACUGAGGCACGAAAGCGUGGGGAGCGAACAGGAUUAGAAACCCUAGUAGUCC